rnacentral:rRNA from 1 species
UACAGAGGUCCCGAGCGUUGUUCGGAUUCACUGGGCGUAAAGGGUGCGUAGGUGGUGAUGUAAGUUUGAUGUGAAAUCUCCGGGCUUAACCCGGAAAUGGCAUUGAAUACUACAUUGCUGGAGGAUUGGAGGGGGGACUGGAAUUCUCGGUGUAGCAGUGAAAUGCGUAGAUAUCGAGAGGAACACCAGUGGCGAAGGCGGCUCACUGGACCGGUAUUGACGCUGAGGUGCGAAAGCGUGGGGAGCGAACAGG